GCCCGGGUGGUGAAAUUGGUAGACGCAGGGGACUCAGACCAAAUUUGAGCCCUCCGAGGGAAACCUCAGAGGUGAAGCCCGUCAAACUCGGUGAAGGCCCUGGACGAUAAGUCCGAGCUAAUGCCGAGCCAAGCCCUGGAGCCGAAAGGCCCCUCGGAAGGUGUAGAGAGCAGACGGCGGGCACCUAAGGCUGAAAAGCUAUGGUGAAGGCGUGCUCCAGACCACGAACGUCAUGCUUCGGCAUGGCGGCGGCGAAAGCCGAAGUGGGAAGAAAAUCCCCCGCCGCAAGGCGUGCCGGUUCGAUUCCGGCCCCGGCACCA
rnacentral:tRNA from 1 species